AGAGACAGCAGCCCGCGGUAAUACGUAGGGCGCAAGCGUUAUCCGGAAUUAUUGGGCGUAAAGAGCUCGUAGGCGGUUUGUCGCGUCUGCCGUGAAAGUCCGGGGCUCAACCCCGGAUCUGCGGUGGGUACGGGCAGACUAGAGUGAUGUAGGGGAGACUGGAAUUCCUGGUGUAGCGGUGAAAUGCGCAGAUAUCAGGAGGAACACCGAUGGCGAAGGCAGGUCUCUGGGCAUUAACUGACGCUGAGGAGCGAAAGCAUGGGGAGCGAACAGGAUUAGAUACCCCGGUAGUCCCUGUCUCUUAUACAC
rnacentral:rRNA from 1 species